rnacentral:tRNA from 1 species
UAGCUCAGUUGGUAGAGCACAAGGCUUUGAACCCUGUGGUCGUGGGUUCAAGCCCCAU